ACUUAAUGACACAGUUUUCAUUUUGGGGUGAACUAUCCCUUUAAGUUUAGUGUUAACCUUUUGAAAUUAAAAUGUAAAACAAGAUACUACUACUACUAAUAAUAAAAAGUUAAAAUUAUUUGCAGAGCCACUUAGUCUGGGUCAUCCUCCAGGAAACUGGCACACAACAAAGAUCUCAUAAUUACAUGGUCACAGUUUAAAAAUAGUUGAAAUGGCGUGAGGAAAAAGUGACGAAGCAAAACCUGACUCACCUCCACCUGAGCGUCUCUGUAACGUUACAUCACAUCAGACACACCGGAUAAGGAGCUGUUUCAAAAAGUAUUAUGCAAUGCAUACAAUUUGUCUUUGGAAUUUGAGUCAUGUGGUGUUUCUUCAACAGGUUUAGUGAGUUUGAUGCGAUGAGGUCAUCAUGUCAAAUUCAGUAUAAAAAUCCCCAUGCUCGUCCGAUCAGCACACAACGGAUGGUGGAAACAAACACCAGCCUAAAGCAAGACUGAAGACUAUACCCACAUCUACUGCAGUCGAAGCUUCUCUGAGAGAGAUGAAGGUGAAGAUGUUGGCCGUGUUGGCUCUGGUUCUUCUGGUCUCCAGUGCGAGUGAGGGACGGAUUCUCAGUAAAUGUGAGCUGAAGUCCCAACUCGAGGCGGCAUUUGGGGGAAAUCAGGGAGGAAAUGGACCUGCAACUGUCACUAAUGGGCCUGGAAACGUAACUGUGCCUGGAGACAUGCCUGGAAACGUAACUGUGCCUGGAGACAUGCCUGGAAACGUAACUGUGCCUGGAGACAUGCCUGGAAACGUAACUGUGCCUGGAGACAUGCCUGGAAACGUAACUGUGCCUGGAGACAUGCCUGGAAAUGUAACGGUGCCUGGAGACAUGCCUGGAAACGUAACAGUGCCAGGAAAUACAACUGUAAAUCCACUCAUCGCCCAAAUUGUUUGUUCUGUGGAGCAUGUUUCGAAGUUCGACACCAGCCUGGUCACCACCAUCCAAGAAGACCCCAGACCUCCAGUGAGACCUCCAGUGAGACCCCCUGUCAGACCACAACAACAACCCAAUGAAAGACCAGGGGGAAAACCUGGACGUCCCGGCAGAAGGGGAAAGAGAUCUCAUGCUGGGGCACUCAGGAGGCCAGCUGGAUUUUCUCGUGACAAUUCCGAGAGUUCCGAGAGUUCCGAGAGUUCUGAGGAGAAUGUCGCCACAAGACUGUUUGGAAUCUUCCAGCUGAGCGACCGUGUGGCCUGCGAUUCCGGAUCCGGCCAGAGUCUGAACAUCUGCAACAUGAACUGCAGAGCUCUGACUGACGAUGACAUCAGGGAUGACAUCAGGUGCCUGAAGACCCUGCUGGACAGCGCAAGAAAUGCCACUGUUUCAGCCUUCGCUUCUCCACCCAAUAAAAUGUAAGUCAGACAAUUAUAAGAUGGUAUGAGUCAAGAGAAAUACUGACUAGAAAUAUAUUAUUUUAUUUUAUUCAAUACUUGAAAGCAUACAAGUCUUAAUGAAAUACAUUUAUAAAAUAUAUUUCGGACAAUAUACAUAAGAAAUUGGCAAAAAUAUAUGAUGAAAUAGAAGUAACUAAAACUUAUUGGAAAUAUAUUUCUGUACAUAUUUUUACAUUAAUAUUAGCAAUAUAUUUUUAACCACAGAAAUAAGCUUUGCAAGAUGUAACCCUUCUUUUACAAGAUUGUGUUUUUUGUCUUUUAGGCCACUUGUAAUUCUCUCUGUGAACGAGUGCCGCAACAUCAAUCCUGCGCAGUACUUUGCUGAGUGUCGCUGAAACAUUCAACGUUUCUACAGACAUGAAUAUUCUGUUAAAUUUCAUCCCAACGUAUUAUUGUAAUAAACCCUACAGGAACUACUGAUCA
ensembl:lncRNA